CAGUUCACUCUUCCCAAAUGAAUUAAGAACUUUUAGCAUCUCAUUAUGUCUUUGAUUGAUUUAAAAGUGAUGUCCAGGCCUUGUUCAUAGAGUUUACAUCACUAAUUGAUUGAUUCAAUAACUCAACGAGGUGGUUUCCCAAAGGUAUCAGAAUGUAAAGCAUUUUGUUGGUUAUAUUCAUUAGAGUUGGUGGGAUGUGGGACACUUUAUUACCAUAUAGUAGGCCCUCCUUAUUUAUGGUUUCCUUUUCUGGGGUUUCAGGUAUCACUAUCAACCCUGGAGAACCAGAGGUCAGCUAGCAAGUGCCAGAGACCCCAUCAAAGUGCUUCAGGGAGAAGGCUUGCCUUGGAUCCUCUAAAAGAAAUUGGUUUCCAUAGUAGAAGAUGGAAGUGGCCUCUGGCUUCUUUCUGUGAGGUCUCCUAAAUAGCUGUUAUCCAGAGGUGUAAGUAGAGACUCUUGCUUCAUUGUAAACAUUUAAUAGCAGAUCUGCAACUUGGGACCAUGAACCUUUAUCUUUACCCUCC
rnacentral:lncRNA from 1 species